GUUCUUGUAGUUAAGGCAGCCAUUAACGAUGGUGUUUCAAACCAUAGACCUUGGGUAGAGACCAAGCAAGAAUUU
rnacentral:tRNA from 1 species